rnacentral:snRNA from 1 species
GGGCUCUCUUACAAUUCCACCAUAAAUGAUAGCUCGGUGGAAAAGGACGACCAUCCCAGAUAGAAGGAGUGUACCGAUCUUCGGUCAAGGGUAUACGAUAGCCGUGCUCCCCUGCUAGACCCUCCAAACAAGCCCCCGAGCUCCGUUUUUGCUGGCAAAGGGCUAGCAAAACAAAUUAAAAGCAAAAUAAAACCAAAAAGGGGAAAUGUUUCUUCCCUGUUUU